rnacentral:snRNA from 1 species
GCUGGCUUGGGCAGCACAAAUUGGACUGAUGCAAAGAAAAUUAGCAUGACCCCUGCACAAGGAUGACACACAAAUUUGUAAAGUAUUCCACAUUUUU